GGCUGUAAGAGAGGAAAAAUAUGGUAAUAUCUUAGCAUAAAACUGAGUGUAUGCAUAUUCAUAGAUAUUCAAGAUAGUGUUUGGUCAGUGUUGUGUCCAAGGGAAUAUUGUUGUUUAACCUAGAAAUGUUGGUGGCCAGAUAGGCCAUUAGUGAUCGUAGCUAAGACUUACCUUGAUCUAAGUACAACUGUAAUGUAAUAAUCUGGCGAUUACAACUGUAACAAAUAUACAUAGUAAAAUGACUUACCGUAGGUCAACUUACCCAACUUCCG